rnacentral:rRNA from 1 species
UACGUAUGGGGCGAGCGUUGUUCGGAAUUAUUGGGUGUAAAGGGCGUCUAGGCGGGAGAUUAAGUUAGAUGUGAAAGGCGUGGGCUUAACCCACGAAUUGCAUCUAAAACUGGUUUUCUUGAGUUCGGGAGAGGAGAGCGGAAUUCUUGGUGUAGCGGUGAAAUGCGUAGAUAUCAAGAAGAACACCAGUGGCGAAGGCGGCUCUCUGGCCUAGAACUGACGCUGAAGCGCGAAAGCGUGGGUAGCGAACGGGAUUAGAUACCCUCGUAGUCCCUGAG